rnacentral:tRNA from 1 species
GGUCUCUUAGCUCAAUGGCAGAGCUACCGGCUCAUAACCGGAUAGGCAUGGUUCGAUUCCAUGAGGGACCACCA